UUUUUUAACCGGCCCAUCAGUUCCGCUGCUACUUGCACAGAUCUUCUGAUGAGACCGAUCGUUUUCAACGGAAGCUCGGAAUGCUUAAUGACAGUGAAGAGAUCCCUCCCGUCCAGGGUCAAUUUAACCUAUUUCCCCUCCUCUCACCUGCAACGGACGUAGAGAAAAUUGGAGUGGGCAACUGGUUGAGCCCGAGGGCCACUUGAAAUUGACGGGGCUGUGCAGACCGCACACUUGCAGUGCCGUGUGCCGGGUAACGGAGCCAGAAGUGUAGCAGCCACUCCUUCCUCGCCAAUGUAAUCGAAAACUUCCACAAGCCAAGGUUUCAAGGUCACCGCAUCCGUGGCUGAUCUGGAGCUAAGGAAGAACCGCCGUGGGUCACAGAGCCAAGCCAGGUUAAAUCGACUGGCCGACUUUUGCUGAACCCCGCUCUAGACCCCCUCCGGUUGUCCAACAUCCUUUUCCGAGCGCAGUGAUCCAAACUGGAGACGGCACUCUAAUAAGGAUGUGAUGCGUGCAGGGGUUGAGGAAGGUUACCCAGGCUGCCAGGCCAACUAAGAGUGAAACUCUUAAGUCCAGGAAGUCAUCAGAGAAGCAAGGACCCUGCAGCUCCAUUACCAACUCUGAGACGCUUUCUGCCAGGCAAGCUUCAAGGCUGCAAUAUAGCAAAGGGGGUGGAGGCCGGGGCGGGGAAGUGGAAAGCGAGAGAGAUUACUUUAUUAACAAUUACAAUUCGCUGACUCAA